rnacentral:rRNA from 1 species
AACGAACGCUGGCGGUAUGCUUUACACAUGCAAGUCGAACGAAUUGUUGGUAGCUUGCUAUCAACAGUUAGUGGCAAACGGGUGAGUAAUGCGUGGGAAUCUGCCCUAUAGUACGGAAUAGCCGUUGGAAACGACGAUUAAUACCGUAUAUCUUCCGAGGAAGAAAGCUUGUCGCUAUAGGAUGAGCCCAGUUAGAUUAGUUGUGGUAGGUAACGCCUACCAAGACUGCGAUCUAUAGCUGGUUUGAGAGGAUGAUCAGCCACACUGGAACUGAGAUACGGUCCAGACUUCACGGAAGGCAGCAGUGAGGAAUAUUGGACAAUGGGCAAAGCCUGAUCCAGCAAUACCGCGUG